AGAUGCACUUUGGCUUUUUGAUUUUGUGCACAGCUGAAGACCUUCCUGGAUCUCUCGUUCCCCCCCUACUCUCUCCCCCUACAUCACCUGUCUGCCCUUGGGAAACUUAUUGCAGUUGCUUUUCGGGUAAACUUAGGAUUCCCAAAUGGGGAAAAGAGGGUUAAAAAGAGAAGGACGCCGGGGACUAGGGGUUUUCUUGAGGCUUUCGGGCUUACUUCACCUGGGCGGCAGGGGGUGGUACUGUCUCCCCUAAGUAGCCCCGGGAGGGCUCCAGUGUGAGAGCAAGCUGCUUCUGUGGAUACAUCUCCUAGGACCUGGCAUCCCCAGGCUGUGUGCUCUACGGCUCCUCCUCCUUCCUCGCUGCUGGUUAAACUAAGCGAGUGUGUGAUGUGGGGUGGGUGGGGGACUUGGUGAAAGCCAGGGAUUGCCGGUCUCCCCUCUGCAUGAGAAAAUUCCCUGUGGCAGCAGCUUCCUUCCCCUGGCAAUCCCCAGUAGCUCUGUCUAGUGAACCCGGCCAAGCGGGCCCUGGAAGUGGGGCGGGCUUCACAGACAGGCCUGAACGCGCAGAGGGUUCCUCAGAGUGCCCUGAUUUUGUCCCCGGGAGGACCCCCAACCUCCGCAUCCUCUUAGUGGCUGUCCUGGCAGGUGCGCGUCCUGCGGGGAGCCGCGCCCCGCGGACGAUCGCCGAGCGGAAGGCGCAGGGCUGCCUCCUGGGACCCUGCCCACCGCGAGCUGGGUGCCUACUCCUCCCCAUUUCUGCCUUUCAGUGAAGAAAGUGAAGACACAGGCAGAAAGAGAUCUUGGCAGAAAUUGGUGAAUUCGGGUGGACUUCGAGAGGAGGUGAAACGAGAAAAAAAGAAAAAACUUGGAGGGAAAAUAAAAGAAAACGAAAACUUA